rnacentral:tRNA from 1 species
AUUAGAAGUCCGGGACAAACUAGAGCUUCUAACUCCAGUUAGGAGGUUCAACUCCUCCAUCUAAUU